UACAGAGGUCCCGAGCGUUAGGCGGAAUCACUGGGCUUAAAGCGUGUGUAGGUGGAUCGUUAAGUACCUUGUGAAAUCCCACAGCUUAACUGUGGAACUGCUCGGUAUACUGCUGGUCUUGAGCCACUCAGGGGCUACCGGAACAAAUGGUGGAGCGGUGAAAUGCGUAGAUAUCAUUUGGAACGCCAAUGGUGAAAACAGGUAGCUGGGGGUGUGCUGACGCUGAGACACGAAAGCCAGGGGAGCAAACGGG
rnacentral:rRNA from 1 species